UACGUAGGUGGCGAGCGUUGUCCGGAAUACUGGGCGUAAAGCGUGCGCAGGCGGUUCUCCAAGUCCGUUGUGAAAGCCCCGGGCUCAACCUGGGAAUGGCAGUGGAAACUAGGGGACUGGAAUCUGGCAGAGGGGGGUGGAAUGCCGCGUGUAGCAGUGAAAUGCGUAGAGAUGCGGCGGAACACCGAUGGCGAAGGCAGCCCCCUGGGCUGAGAUUGACGCUCAGGCACGAAGCGUGGGGAGCAAACAGG
rnacentral:rRNA from 1 species